rnacentral:misc_RNA from 1 species
UUUCCGUAGGUGAACCUGCGGAAGGAUCAUUACUGAGUGAGGGCCCUCUGGGUCCAACCUCCCACCCGUGUUUAUUGUACCUUGUUGCUUCGGUGAGCCCGCCUCACGGCCGCCGGGGGGCAUCUGCCCCCGGGCCCGCGCUCGCCGAAGACACCUUGAACUCUGUCUGAAGUUUGCAGUCUGAGCGAAAACUAAAUAAGUUAAAACUUUCAACAACGGAUCUCUUGGUUCCG